AAGAAAUUAGGUUCAAUCUUCAAACCGAGG
rnacentral:tRNA from 1 species